AGUGAACGCUGGCGGUAGGCCUAACACAUGCAAGUCGAACGGCAGCACAGUAAGAGCUUGCUCUUACGGGUGGCGAGUGGCGGACGGGUGAGGAAUACAUCGGAAUCUACUUUUUCGUGGGGGAUAACGUAGGGAAACUUACGCUAAUACCUCAUACGACCUACGGGUGAAAGCAGGGGAUCUUCGGACCUUUCGCGAUUGAAUGAGCCGAUGUCGGAUUAGCUAGUUGGCGUGGUAAAGGCCCACCAAGGCGACGAUCCGUAGCUGGUCUGAGAGGAUGAUCAGCCACACUGGAACUGAGACACGGUCCAGACUCCUACGGGAGGCAGCAGUGGGGAAUAUUGGACAAUGGGCGCAAGCCUGAUCCAGCCAUACCGCGUGGGUGAAGAAGGCCUUCGGGUUGUAAAGCCCUUUUGUUGGGAAAGAAAAGCAGCAGGUUAAUACCCCGCUGUUCUGACGGUACCCAAAGAAUAAGCACCGGCUAACUUCGUG
rnacentral:rRNA from 1 species